AGCACAAUGCUCAUCCAGUUCCAACCCCCUGCUAUGUGCAGGGUCACCAACCAGCAGCCCAGGCUGCCCAGAGCCACAUCCAGCCUGGCCUUGAAUGCCUGCAGGGAUGGGGCAUCCACACCUCCUUGGGCAACCUGUUAAAUCAGUACAGACAGGUCAACAGGAGAUCAUGCAGCAAGCCAAUAACAGAAUCAGGAUUAGGGCUUCUGCUAUUAAUUGAUCACUUCUAAGAACAUCUGAAGACAGAGGACCCAGAGCAAACACUGCUUUUCAAGAGUAGGAUAGUGAUAACCACAUUCAUCCCUAAGCUUUCA
rnacentral:lncRNA from 1 species